GCAGGGGAAUUGUGGAGUAGAUGGCAUGAGAUGACGUUCAAGACGAUCCUUAGAGGAGGGUGUGGAAUUCAACAGGCAGAGGGAGAGGUCUCUGCACGGGUCUUCAAGGGAAGAUCCCGGGUCUCCCUUCCGUACUUCUCUGGGAACGGGCACAGCAGAAGGCCACAAUGGUUGCCAUCAGGACGAGGAAGGCCACACCGGCUCCCACGGCCACCCCGAUGAUGACGGCCAUCGGCACGGACUCUGCGGGAGAGACACACAUGCACUGGUACCUAUGGAUACAUGUGGACUCGGUGCUGGAAGAGUCCUCAGUCUGGGACAGCUCCUGCUUGGACCUGCUGAGCAUCGGGGGCUGUGGCCAAAGGGUGUCCACUUCUUAAGGGCUGCUGACAUCUGUCUAAGGAGAAGCCUCCCUUUCCCCUGGCUGCCACUAGCCCACUCUGUUCCUCUUCCUUCCAGGCCAGCUCUCAGAACAUCCUGGCACCACUACCCCUCAACCUGUCCGUGCUGAGCGAGGAGCAGAGAGGGAGUGGAGCUGCAGCCCCGCAAGCCCUCACUGCUUACUGAGUUUCAAUCUCUUGUCCCACCUGAGCAAAGGUGGACAUGGGAGUGUGUUGGUGGUGGUAGGGAGGUUAGACAGCCCUGGUGCUCCUAUGACUGCACAGGGGGGCCUGAGCACAAGAUUUGGGGCUUGGGGACAGAACUAGAAAGAUGAGAAAAGGGUGACUUUGAGGUUUCCUGAGUCCAAGGCUCUUAUCUCACAGAUGGGAUGGAGCUCAGAUAAGGCAAAACAAGAACUUUGCUCAAGGACACAGAGCUGCAGUCAGGGCAAACCUGGAUUUCUGCUACUCCGCCCAUCCUUCAGCUCACCCACUCCCAGCUCCCCCAAGUCCUGCCUGCUGCAUCCCACAGCAUCCCGCAGAGCUUUCACGCAGCCCAGGCUGCUGGCUGCGUCACUUCCUUUACCUCUUAUCUGUAACACAGGGAUUGAAAUGGGUGUCUUCCGCAGAGGGCUGCAGUCGGUACAGGCCCUGGAGGUGACCCUGUACCCAGGGUACCCAGCCCUGUGUAAGUGUAAGCUCUGGGUAUCCCAUGAGAAGGGGCAACUGUGUCAGGUGAAUUUCUUAAAGGGAAGCUUUUCUGAG